GAUGAACGCUGGCGGCAUGCCUAAUACACGCAAGUCGAACGAGAGGAAGGAAAGCUUGCUUUUCUGAAUCUAGUGGCGAACGGGUGAGUAACACGUAGGUAACCUGCCCAUGUGCCCGGGAUAACUUCUGGAAACGGAUGCUAAAACCGGAUAGGUAGCAGACAAGCAUUUGACUGCUAUUAAAGUGGCUGAGGCCAUGAACAUGGAUGGACCUGCGGUGCAUUAGCGAGUUGGUGAGGUAACGGCCCACCAAGGCGACGAUGCAUAGCCGGCCUGAGAGGGCGGACGGCCACAUUGGGACUGAGACACGGCCCAAACUCCUACGGGAGGCAGCAGUAGGGAAUUUUCGUCAAUGGGGGGAACCCUGAACGAGCAAUGCCGCGUGAGUGAGGAAGGUCUUCGGAUCGUAAAGCUCUGUCGUAAGAGAAAAACGACAUUCAUAGGGAAUGAUGAGUGAGUGAUGGUAUCUUACCAGAAAGUCACGGCUAACUACGUGCCAGCCGCCGCAGUAACAC
rnacentral:rRNA from 1 species